UUCUCAUUCUGUUAAAAUAUUUUCUGAAAGUCAAAGAAAUCACCCAUAAGAAAAUGAAAACCUCCUGGCUCUUCCUCUUGCUGGUGGCAGUGCCCAGAUGUGUCCUGUCCCAGGUGCAGCUGAAGGAGUCAGGACCUGGCCUGGUGAAGCCCUCACAGACCCUGUCCCUCACCUGCUCUGUCUCUGGAUUCUCUUUAACCAGCUAUGAAGUACACUGGUUCCGACAGGCCCCUGGAAAUGGGCUGGAGUGGGUUGGCAGGAUAACUAUUGGUGGAAGCACAAACUGUAACCCAACUCUUAAGUCACGACUCAGCAUCACCAGGGACACCUCCAAGAAUGAAGUUUAUUCAAAGCUGAGCAGUGUGACACCCAAGGACACAGCCACAUAUUACUGUGCAAAAGACACAGUGAGGGGAAGUCAGGGUGAGCUCAAACAAAAACCUCCCCUGAAGGCACAGGAGGAUCUGGGCUGCAGGGGGUGCUUGGGACCACCAGGGGCUGUGGAGGAGCCAUCCCCAGGGGCAGGCUUCUCAGGCAGAGCUUACUUUUGGGCCCUCAGAGGAAGCCAGUCAUACUCAGAUGUGUACUUGGAUCUCACAUUCCAGCACAUCCUGGGAAGCCAAGCAUACAACAAAUUUUUACAACCUGCCUUAAAUAGGCAGAAAGAGAAAGUGCCAUCCUCUGUACUGAUCCCUGAAUCCACCAUUGCCUAA